rfam:Oryza sativa (indica cultivar-group) chromosome 1, whole genome shotgun sequence.
GAUAUCAACUGAAAAAGUCAUCAACAACAAAGUUGAAUAACUCAUCAAGAUCUAAAACUUUUAUUUGUCAUUUCUUCAUACGACAAAGUGAUAGUAACAUUAUUCACAAAAUUGACAUAUCUCUUAUCUGGUUUUAUAAACUAUAACAUAUAUGUAAAAUUUGUGAAUAAUAUUACUAACAUUUCGUCAGAUGAAGAAAUAACAAAAAUAAAAGUUUUAGAUCUUGAUGAGUUAUUCAACUUUGUUGUUGAUGAUUUUUUCAAUUGAAAUC